GUUCACUGGAACAGUCUGAGGUGUCCUCCUCCUGCAGAAAUCCACAGGAGGAGGACACCUCAGACUGUUCCAGUCUGACU
rnacentral:miRNA from 1 species